rnacentral:misc_RNA from 1 species
UCGCGCCGCCAUCGCGGGGUUGGUGUUCGACGUGCUGCGCCGCCGGGCGUCGUCGGCGUGGCUGAUGGAUACCGAUACACCGCGUGCGCGUCUGCUGGGGAUGCUCAAGCUUGAACGCGGCCUCGGUGCGGAUGCCGUUGCGGCGCUGUGCGAUGGCGGGCGUUUUGCGCCGGAGGCUCUCACGGACACCGAACGUGCGGCGCUCACAUCGCGGACGUUGAAAGAUGCGCCCGCACAUGUCGCGGGCGAUUAUCCUGAAUGGCUCG